ensembl:lncRNA
GUUUGAUCCCUGGGUAGGGAAGAUUCCCUGGAGAAGGGAAUGGCAACCCACUCCAGUAUUCUUGCCUGGAGAAUUUCAUGGACAGAGGAGUCUGGCGGGCUAUAGUCCAAGGGAUUGCAAAGAGUCUGACAUGACUGAGCGACUAACCCUUUCAUUUUCACUUUCCAGGUUAGAUGGUCUACUAUUACCUACUUACCCUCAUGGAUCAAGGUCUAUACUAUGUUGUAACUGAUGAAUGCCUUCCGUGUGCCCAGCAGGGACACCCAGUAAGUUGACCAGCUGGAGUAAGUUGGGAGUAGAGAGGUAAGCCGUGCAGCACGUGGGAUCUUAGUUUCUCGAACAGGGAUUGAACCCAAACCCAAGCAUUGGAAGCACAGAGUCCCAACCACUGGAGUGCCAGAGAAGUUCCUAAGUGCCAUCUUUCUUUGAGCCUCCCAAUUGGACUUCACAGUAUUUGCUCUCUCCUUCAGGAUCUAGAAUAUCUUCGUACCUUUCUCAGCAUAGUUCACAGUACCCCCCCACACACACACACGUGUGUGUGUGUGUGUGUGUGUGUGUGUGUGUGUAUCAAGUGGGAAAAAGAGGAUGCCUGGAGGGAUGCUUGGUGAGGGAUGGAGCCUGAACAGGGUGGGGAGGGCUCGAUGACUGGGAUGAGGAC